rnacentral:rRNA from 1 species
UACGGAGGGUGCAAGCGUUGUCCGGAAUCACUGGGCGUAAAGGGCGCGUAGGCGGCCUGAUAAGUAGGGGGUGAAAUCCUGCGGCUUAACCGCAGGGCUGCCUUCUAAACUGUCAGGCUUGAGCACGGUAGAGGCAGAUGGAAUUCCCGGUGUAGCGGUGGAAUGCGUAGAGAUCGGGAAGAACAUCAGUGGCGAAGGCGGUCUGCUGGGCCGUUGCUGACGCUGAGGCGCGACAGCGUGGGGAGCAAACAGG